rnacentral:rRNA from 1 species
ACUCCUACGGGAGGCAGCAGUGGGGAAUCUUCCGCAAUGGGCGAAAGCCUGACGGAGCGACACCGCGUGGUGGAUGACACCCUAUCCGGGCGUAAACACCUGUUCUGAGGGACGAAAUUUUUGACGGUACCUCAGGAGAAAGCACCGGCUAAUUCCGUGCCAGCAGCCGCGGUAAGACGGAAGGUGCAAGCGUUACUCGGAAUUACUGGGCGUAAAGCGUCCGCAGCCGAUCCCGUUAGUCUGGCGUUAAAGCACGGAGCCCAACUCCGUGUCCGUGCCGGAAACUGCGGGGAUAGAGUCAUGCAGGGGCAUCUGGAAUACCGUGUGUAGGGGUAAAAUCCGUUGAUCCACGGUAGAACGCCAAAAGCGAAGGCAGGAUGCUGGGCAUGUACUGACGGUCAGGGACGAAAGCGUGGGGAGCGAACGGGAUUAGAUACCCCGGUAGUCCACGCCCUAAACGAUGCGUGCUCGGUGUUGGGAUUUUCAAUUGAUCUCAGUGCCUUAGCUAACGCGGUAAGCACGCCGCCUGGGAAGUACGGCCGCAAGGCUAAAACUCAAAGGAAUAGACGGGGACCCACACAAGCGGUGGAGCAUGUGGUUUAAUUCGAUGAUAAGCGGAGCACCUCACCCAGGUUUGACAUCCCGAGAAUCCCGCGGAAACGUGGGAGUGCCGCAAGGAACUCGGUGACAGGUGGUGCACGGUCGUCGUCAGCUCGUGCCUUGAGGUGUACUGUUAAGUCAGCAAACGAGCGCAACCCUCAUCCUAUGUUGUUUUUUCAUAGGAGACUGCCGCCUCCAAGGCGGAGGAAGGUGGGGAUGACGUCAGAUCUGCGUGUCCCUUAGGCCUGGGGCUACACCCAUGCUACAAUGGCCGGUACAGAGGGCAGCGAACCCGC